rnacentral:lncRNA from 1 species
GUUCCAGGGCCAAGCCUUCAGGACAUUGCCCAGCACUGGGAACAGAAACAGUGGGCCUCCUGGCUUGAAACAAGACUUCCUUGGAACCGUGGGAGAGGAUGAAA